UAUAUUUCUGAAACACUCAGAUCAGAAAGCACUGAACUACAGUGUUUCUCACAGAAUGGAAAAUACCGUUAUCUGGAGUUUAUUAUUUGUACUUACUAUUCAUGGAGUUUGGAGUGAGAUCAAACAUGACCAGUCUCCGUCUGAGGUGAAAAGACCUGGAGAGACAGUGAAGAUGUCAUGUAUCAUAUCUGGUUAUAGCAUGACAAGCUACUAUAUUCACUGGAUACGACAGAGACCAGGAGAAGCUCUGGAGUGGAUUGGGAGGAUGAAUGCAGGUUCAAACUCUGCUAGCUAUGGCAGCUCCUUUCAAAGCCGUUUCAUCAUGACUGAAGAUGUUCCCAGCAGCUCUCAGUACCUCGAGGUCCAGAGCCUGACAGCAGCAGAUUCUGCUGUUUACUUCUGUGCUCGACAGACACAGUGACUGAAGACAGUGGAGCAGCUGCACAAAA